UAGUGGCGAACGGGUGAGUAACACGUGGGCAAUCUGCCCUUCACUCUGGGACAAGCCCUGGAAACGGGGUCUAAUACCGGAUAUGAGCCUGGGAGGCAUCUCCCGGGUUGUAAAGCUCCGGCGGUGAAGGAUGAGCCCGCGGCCUAUCAGCUUGUUGGUGAGGUAAUGGCUCACCAAGGCGACGACGGGUAGCCGGCCUGAGAGGGCGACCGGCCACACUGGGACUGAGACACGGCCCAGACUCCUACGGGAGGCAGCAGUGGGGAAUAUUGCACAAUGGGCGAAAGCCUGAUGCAGCGACGCCGCGUGAGGGAUGACGGCCUUCGGGUUGUAAACCUCUUUCAGCAGGGAAGAAGCGAGAGUGACGGUACCUGCAGAAGAAGCGCCGGCUAACUACGUGCCAGCAGCCGCGGUAAUACGUAGGGCGCAAGCGUUGUCCGGAAUUAUUGGGCGUAAAGAGCUCGUAGGCGGCUUGUCACGUCGAUUGUGAAAGCCCGAGGCUUAACCUCGGGUCUGCAGUCGAUACGGGCUAGCUAGAGUGUGGUAGGGGAGAUCGGAAUUCCU
rnacentral:rRNA from 2 species